UGGUUUCUUUCCGGUCUUCGAUUCCGACCUAUAAGCAGAAGCUCCCGCAGGCAAAGCAAAAACCGCUCUCUAUGCUGCUUUCAUCUAUACCUCGGAGUGCAGCUUUGGCCGUUCUCAAAUGCCACAAAGGUCAUCUACGGCAUCAGCUGCUGCCCACUUGCGUUUACUUGGUCCACAUUGGCAACUAAUCUUGGAAUCGGGAGACUUUUAUCCAUUUUAAUGGUUGGAAAAAUCGAGAGUCCAACGCAGCAGGGAUGGUGACUUCCACCUUUGGGCAUACGGGGAUGGAAGAAUCUUUGAAAAUGUUCAGGAAAGCCCUUCAAGCAGGUGAUGGGAUGGUUGAUGCCACUGAUUUCACGAGGACCAAAAGUUUGAAAAAAUUUUUGAUAGCUAAAAAAAUUUGGAGUUCUACUACUACAGGUUCAGCAUCCCGAUGAUCCAUUUUUGUAGGAAUCCUUACCGUAUGUUUUCUCAAGAUCAACUUCAAUGAUAACACACAAAAGGCAGAAUUCAUCAUGGUAGUAUUGAUUUUGUUACUUGUGAUGCGAGAUCACAUUUCAUUUUAGCCGGGGGUAUCUCGCUUUGUGAUAUGUUGGUGCCUCAGGUUGAGCUAAGAAUUGCUUCGGAGGGUCCAGCGUAUGUCGUUAUCGUUUUAUAUGCGAACAGAGCGGUGCUAGAAGAAAAUGCAAGUAUGGUAAUUUUCUGGCCGUCUUCUUUGAUCGAGUUCUCAAUAGUUGCAGAUACUCAGAAAUUCAUCGUGCACUGCUCAUGUUGUCUGAUUUACCAUAUCAAGAGGGCGAUAAUGCGGCCAAUUGGAUGGUACUCUUCGUGGAUGAUAGCUGAGAUUCUUUAUUUACUUUAUGUUUCGAUUGUGCCUGAUAACCGGUUUCAACCGAGAAAAAAAAAAAAAAAAAGACAAAAAGCAUCAUGUGCGCUCUCGAUGCCAUGUACCGCCACGUGGAAGAAGAAGCACCCACAAGCAAAGCCAAGAAAGCCGGUCGACCAGCUUCAGCUAUUUUCAGUUAUCAUCUAGGCAUAUAUUGGGCCCCUAUUGUUCGAGCAAGUAGCACGCCAUUUGAAUGGAUAUAGAUCAAAAUUUUCAGCAUAAUGGAUUAGAUCGAACCAAAAAUUUGAGCCUAUUCUUUAAUCGACCUAGUCCAAGUUCAACCC